rnacentral:rRNA from 1 species
GACUCUCGGCAACGGAUAUCUCGGCUCUCGCAUCGAUGAAGAACGCAGCGAAAUGCGAUACUUGGUGUGAAUUGCAGAAUCCCGUGAAUCAUCGAGUCUUUGAACGCAAGUUGCGCCCGAGGCCCUUCGGCCGAGGGCACAUCUGCUUGGGCGUCGA